rnacentral:rRNA from 1 species
GACGAACGCUGGCGGCGUGCUUAACACAUGCAAGUCGAACGGUGAAGCGAGUGCUUGCACUCGUGGAUCAGUGGCGAACGGGUGAGUAACACGUGAGUAACCUGCCCAUCACUCUGGGAUAAGCACUGGAAACGGUGUCUAAUACUGGAUACGACCAACCCUUGCAUGGGGUGUUGGUGGAAAGAUUUAUCGGUGAUGGAUGGACUCGCGGCCUAUCAGCUUGUUGGCGGGGUAAUGGCCCACCAAGGCGACGACGGGUAGCCGGCCUGAGAGGGUGACCGGCCACACUGGGACUGAGACACGGCCCAGACUCCUACGGGAGGCAGCAGUGGGGAAUAUUGCACAAUGGGCGAAAGCCCGAUGCAGCGACGCCGCGUGAGGGAUGACGGCCUUCGGGUUGUAAACCUCUUUCAGCAGGGAAGAAGCGAAAGUGACGGUACCUGCAGAAGAAGCACCGGCUAACUACGUG